GGGAUUGUGGCUUAGUGGUAGAGCGCUUGCCUAGCAUGCAUGAAGCCCUGGGUUCAAUUCCUCAGUACCA
rnacentral:tRNA from 1 species